AAAGGAAUAGACGGGGGCCCGCACAAGCGGUGGAGCAUGUGGUUUAAUUCGAAGCAACGCGAAGAACCUUACCAAGGCUUGACAUGGAGACGGUCGGUAUAGAGAUAUACCUUCCCUUCGGGGCGUCUCACACAGGUGGUGCAUGGUUGUCGUCAGCUCGUGUCGUGAGAUGUUGGGUUAAGUCCCGCAACGAGCGCAACCCUUAUGUUUAGUAGCCAGCGGGUAAAGCCGGGCACACUAGAGAGACUGCCGUGGAUAACACGGAGGAAGGUGGGGAUGACGUCAAAUCAUCAUGCCCCUUAUGUCUUGGGCUACACACGUGCUACAAUGGCUGAGACAAAGUGACGCGAGUCCGCGAGGGCAAGCAAAUCACAAAAAAGCAGUCCCAGUUCGGAUUGCAGGCUGCAACCCGCCUGCAUGAAGUUGGAAUCGCUAGUAAUCGCGAAUCAGCAUGUCGCGGUGAAUACGUUCCCGGGCCUUGUACACACCGCCCGU
rnacentral:rRNA from 1 species